rnacentral:rRNA from 1 species
AACGAACGCUGGCGGCAGGCCUAACACAUGCAAGUCGACCGGGACCUUCGGGUCUAGUGGCGGACGGGUGAGUAACGCGUGGGAACGUGCGCUUUGGUUCGGAAUAGCCCCGGGAAACUGGGAGUAAUACCGGAUCAGCUCCACGGGGGAAAGAUGUCUGGCCAAAGGAUCGGCACGCGUUAGAUUAGGUAGUUGGUGAGGUAAUGGCUCACCAAGCCGACGAUACAUAGCUGGUUUGAGAGGAUGAUCAGCCACACUGGGACUGGGACACGGCCCAGACUCCUACGGGAGGCAGCAGGGGGGAAUCUUAGAGAAUGGGGGAAACCCUGAUCUAGCCAUGCCGCGUGAUCGAUGAAGGCCUUAGGGUUGUAAAGAUCUUUCAGUGGGGAAGAUAAUGACUGUACCCACAGAAGAAGCCCCGGCUAACUACGUGCCAGCAGCCGCCGCGG